rnacentral:rRNA from 1 species
CGAAAGCCUGACGGAGCAAUACCGCGUGAGGGAGGAAGGCUCUUGGGUUGUAAACCUCUUUUCUCAGGGAAGAAUUCAAUGACGGUACCUGAGGAAUCAGCAUCGGCUAACUCCGUGCCAGCAGCCGCGGUAAUACGGAGGAUGCAAGCGUUAUCCGGAAUGAUUGGGCGUAAAGCGUCCGCAGGUGGCAUUGAAAGUCUGCUGUCAAAGAGUCUGGCUCAACCAGAUAAAGGCAGUGGAAACUACAAAGCUAGAGUACGUUCGGGGCAGAGGGAAUUCCUGGUGUAGCGGUGAAAUGCGUAGAGAUCAGGAAGAACACCGGUGGCGAAAGCGCUCUGCUAGGCCGUAACUGACACUGAGGGACGAAAGCUAGGGGAGCGAAUGGGAUUAGAUACCCCAGUAGUCCUAGCCGUAAACGGUGGAUACUAGGUGUUGCUUGUAUCGACCCGAGCAGUACCGUAGCUAACGCGUUAAGUAUCCCGCCUGGGGAGUACGCAGGCAACUGUGAAACUCAAAGGAAUUGACGGGGGCCCGCACAAGCGGUGGAGUAUGUGGUUUAAUUCGAUGCAACGCGAAGAACCUUACCAGGGCUUGACAUGUCGCGAAUCCUUGUGAAAGCAGGGAGUGCCUUCGGGAGCGCGAACACAGGUGGUGCAUGGCUGUCGUCAGCUCGUGUCGUGAGAUGUUGGGUUAAGUCCCGCAACGAGCGCAACCCUCGUUUUUAGUUGCCAUCAUUAAGUUGGGCACUCUAGAGAGACUGCCGGUGACAAACCGGAGGAAGGUGGGGAUGACGUCAAGUCAGCAUGCCCCUUACGUCCUGGGCUACACACGUACUACAAUGCUACGAACAGAGGGCAGCAAGCAUGCGAAUGCAAGCUAAUCCCGGAAAUCGUAGCUCAGUUCAGAUCGCAGGCUGCAACUCGCCUGCGUGAAGUUGGAAUCGCUAGUAAUUGCAGGUCAGCAUACUGCAGUGAAUUCGUUCCCGGGCCUUGUACACACCGCCCGUCACACCAUGGAAGCUGGUAGUGCCCGAAGUCAUUACCCCAACCUUUCGGGGAGGGGAAUGCCUAAGGCAGGA